UACAGAGGUCCCGAGCGUUGUUCGGAUUCACUGGGCGUAAAGGGUGCGUAGGCGGCUGGGUAAGUCUGAUGUGAAAUCCCGCAGCUCAACUGCGGAACUGCAUCGGAUACUAUCCAGCUAGAGGGGUGGAGGGGAGACUGGAAUUCUCGGUGUAGCAGUGAAAUGCGUAGAUAUCGAGAGGAACACCAGUGGCGAAGGCGAGUCUCUGGACACCUCCUGACGCUGAGGCACGAAAGCCAGGGGAGCAAACGGG
rnacentral:rRNA from 1 species